CAGAGAAUAGUUUAUGAAAAAUACUAGUUUUGGGGAUUAGUGAUAGGGGUACUCUCUUUCUCUGA
rnacentral:tRNA from 1 species